UCCCUAUGGGGUGCAGCAGGCGCGAAACCUCCACAAUGCGCGAAAGCGUGAUGGGGUUAGCCCGAGUGCUAUCCGAAAAGGAUGGCUUUUCCUUGGCGUAAAAACCCAGGGGAAUAAAGGGGGGGCAAGACUGGUGUCAGCCGCCGCGGUAAUACCAGCUCCCUGAGUGGUAAGGACGAUUAUUUGGCUUAAAGCGUCCGUAGCCGGCUUAGUGAGUCUUUUGUUAAAUCCAAUGAUUUAAUCAUUGAACUGCAAGAGAUACUGCUAUGCUAGAGGACGGGAGAGGUCGACGGUAGUCCAGGGGUAGGGGUGAAAUCCUAUAAUCCUUGGAGGACCACCAGUGGCGAAGGCGGUCGACUAGAACGUGCCUGACGGUGAGGGACGAAAGCUGGGGGAGCGAACCGGAUUAGAUACCCGGGUAGUCCCAGCUGUAAACGAUGCGGGCUAGGUGUAGGGGCAGCUACGAGCUGCUUUUGUGCCGCAGAGAAAUUGUUAAGCCCGCCGCCUGGGGAGUACGAUCGCAAGAUUGAAACUUAAAGGAAUUGGCGGGGGAGCACCACAAGGGGUGAAGGCUGCGGUUUAAUUGGAUUCAACGCCGGAA
rnacentral:rRNA from 1 species